GGGGCGAAUCUCCCUUUCCCGCAAGGGACUGCUUGCUAGGUGCUGCAUGGCUGUCGUCAGCUCGUGUCGUGAGAUGUUGGGUUAAGUCCCGCAACGAGCGCAACCCUUGUCAUUAGUUGCUACAUUUAGUUGGGCACUCUAAUGAGACUGCCGGUGACAAACCGGAGGAAGGUGGGGAUGACGUCAAGUCCUCAUGGCCCUUAUAGGUGGGGCUACACACGUCAUACAAUGGCUGGUACAAAGGGUUGCCAACCCGCGAGGGGGAGCUAAUCCCAUAAAACCAGUCGUAGUCCGGAUCGCAGUCUGCAACUCGACUGCGUGAAGUCGGAAUCGCUAGUAAUCGUGGAUCAGAAUGUCACGGUGAAUACGUUCCCGGGUCUUGUACACACCGCCCGUCACACCAUGGGAGUUGGUUUUACCUGGAGACGGUGCGCUAACCCGCAAGGGAGGCAGCCGGCCACGGUAGGGUCAGCGACUGGGGUGAAGUCGUAACAAGGUAACCGU
rnacentral:rRNA from 1 species